CCCGAGCGGGCCGCGGGGCCGCCACCCUCGGCCGACCCAGCCCGAGCCCGUCCCGCGAGGCCCGCCCGGCAUGUGCCCGGGGCGCCCCGUCCUACCGGGGCCAACCUCCGCCGAGAGAAGGGGCCUGGACUCUGGGUGUUCAUAAGAAUGGAAGCACUUUUUCCUUGCCAGAUUCCUUAUUGGUAUAUCUCAUGAACCUACAUAAUCUUGGGGAAGAGCCUGUGUCUAAUGAUGACAAACCUGUCACCCAUGAAGCAACAACCAUCUGAGGGGAAGAAACAAAAAUAAAGAAGCUUUUAAAUUUAUAUUCAACAAAGGAAUCAUUUCAGUCAACAACUUCUGUUGCAUUAUUUUUCCACGAUGAACCGGUACACAACCAUGAGACAGCUGGGGGACGGGACCUAUGGGAGUGUGCUGAUGGGCAAGAGUAACGAAUCCGGAGAGCUGGUGGCCAUCAAAAGAAUGAAGAGAAAGUUCUAUUCUUGGGAUGAAUGUAUGAAUUUGAGAGAAGUUAAGUCUCUGAAGAAACUCAAUCAUGCCAAUGUGAUUAAACUAAAAGAAGUUAUCCGAGAAAAUGACCAUCUCUAUUUUAUAUUUGAAUAUAUGAAAGAAAACCUCUAUCAAUUAAUGAAAGACAGAAACAAGCUGUUCCCUGAGUCAGUCAUCAGAAAUAUUAUGUAUCAAAUAUUGCAAGGGCUGGCAUUUAUCCAUAAACACGGUUUUUUUCAUAGGGAUAUGAAACCAGAGAACUUGCUUUGUAUGGGGCCAGAACUUGUGAAAAUUGCUGAUUUUGGACUUGCAAGAGAAUUAAGAUCACAGCCACCAUAUACUGAUUAUGUAUCUACCAGAUGGUAUCGUGCCCCUGAAGUUUUAUUAAGAUCUUCGGUUUAUAGCUCUCCCAUUGAUGUAUGGGCUGUUGGGAGUAUAAUGGCUGAACUAUAUACAUUAAGACCACUUUUCCCAGGGACAAGUGAGGUUGAUGAAAUCUUUAAGAUUUGCCAAGUUUUAGGGACUCCCAAAAAAAGUGACUGGCCAGAAGGGUACCAGCUUGCAUCCUCUAUGAACUUCCGUUUUCCGCAGUGUGUUCCUAUAAACUUAAAAACUCUUAUUCCCAAUGCCAGUAAUGAAGCUAUUCAACUUAUGACUGAAAUGUUGAAUUGGGAUCCAAAGAAGCGGCCAACAGCAAGCCAGGCACUGAAACACCAAUAUUUUCAAGUUGGUCAAGUAUUAGGCCCUUCCUCACAUCAUCCAGAAUUGAAACAAUCUUUAAAUAAGCAGGUGCAGCCACUAGAAUCAAAGCCAUCUUUAGUUGAUCUAGAAUCUAAGCCUCUGCCGGACAUAAAUGAUCAGACUGUCAGACAGCCCCAACCCAAAAACAGCCACCAGCCACUGCAGUCCAUCCAGCCACCGCAGAACAUGAGCGUCCAGCCAGCGCCAAAGCAGCCGGGUCAACAGAAACGGCCACAAACACUAUUUCCAAGUAUCGUCAAAACCAUGCCAACCAAGCCAAAUGGCGCACUGGGUCAUAAAAGUGCUAGGAGACGUUGGGGUCAGACUGUGUUCAAGUCUGGAGAUAGCUGGGAAGAGUUUGAGGACUGUGAUCUUGGAGCCUCCCAUUCCAAGAAGCCAAGCAUGGGUGUAUUUAAAGAAAAGAGGAAAAAAGAUUCUCCAUUUCGGCUUCCAGAGUCGGUACCCUCAGGCUCUUAUCACUCAGCAGGGGAAAACAAGAGCUUCCCUGCUGCUAUUUCCCUAAAAUCUGAUUCUGAACUGUCAACUGCCUCCACAGCUAAACAGUACUACUUGAAGCAAUCAAGAUACCUUCCAGGUGUAAAUCCCAAGACUGUGUCCUUGGUAGCCGGUGGAAAGGAUACAAACUCAUAUACUUGGAGUAAUCAGUUAUUUCCUAAGUCACUGGGACCGGUAGGGGCAGAACUUGCUUUCAAAAGGAAUAAUGCAGAGGAAAGCAUAAUUAAACCAAUUGAAAAACUAUCAUGCAAUGAAAGUUUUCCUGAAAAAUUAGAGGACCCACAAGGAAAUCUUGGAAGUUAUGCUACUUACAAUCAGUCAGGAUAUAUUCCUUCCUUUCUCAAAAAAGAAGUGGGGUCAGCUGGCCAGAGGAUACACUUAGCACCUCUUGGUGCAACAAGCUCAGAUUUUCCUACAGAUGGUGAUAGGAGGAAAGGUAAAAAAAGAAGUAAAUAUUAAUCAUUCUCAAGUGGUCAAUGCAAAUCCUUAGGAAAACACUGUUCUGUAAGAGAUGUGUCUUCCAGUGCUCCCACUUGUGUGGCAGUUUCCCACAAGAAAAUAAAACCAGAAUAUACCUGGAACACAAAACCCAGUCGGGGGCAGUUUUCAGGACCUACUUACAAUCCUACGGCCAAGAAUCUCAAUAUUGUGAACCGUGCACAGCCAGUUCCCUCAGUGCAUGGGAGGACAGACUGGGUGGCCAAGUACGGCGGCCACCGGUAGGAGUCCGGCAGCCACCAAUAGGAGUCUGAUGUGAAGCCCCACAGCAUUGCUCCAUAGAGUCCAUGCAAGUCCCCUGUCCCUGGGAAAUGUCUACAGAUGUCUAUUUCCAAUGAGUUCUAGAAGAAAAAUGUAGUGGGUACUUGGAAAAGCAAAAACCAUCUAUUUUCUUUCUUUCCUAGAAAUGAAAUGCAUUUUCUUAGCAUCAGUUGCCCACAGUGCUGAUAUAUGGGUAGGACUUUACAAAGUAUUGAAUAAACUAUUUGCCAAAGUAUCAAGUAUUUGAUCUACAAAUUAAUAGUUACUAAGUAUGAUAAGAAUCUUUUUAAAAAAGGCCUUCAGGAAGUGUUUAGAGUGUUUUAGUUUUCAUGUUAUUUGCCUAAAUUAAUAUUUCAUCAAUUGGCCUCAGAGAUGUGUCUUUUUAUAGCAAUGAGGUAGACCUCUGUGGGCUGUCAGUUAUGGUUCUUAUUUGGCUAAGGCUCUACCCUACGAGUUUGGCAAUAACAAAAGAUGUUCAUUUAUCUUUUUUUCUACUUUGAAAUUAUGGAAGUGAUAGUAAUUCCAUCGUGAGCAGCAUAUUUUUCUUAGGAAUAAAUUUAACAUAAAGAUCUCAAAAUUAUGUCACCCAAUUUUAGUGGAGUCUACUUGUUUUGAUUUUGAUCAACACAUCUCCCAUGAAUUCGUGGUGACUAUCAAACCCAACAGCUUCAAGACUCCCAAAUCAACCAAGUCAAGGUUCUCUCACCUUCACAUCAUUAGGAAAGUUCUUGAAACUGUGAUGUGUUCAUCAGACUUUCAAAAUACUUUCUUUCCAUGUUCCUACUAUACACAAAAAUGAGGUGUGCCACUUGUCCCCCAAAGCAAACUCUUGCUGCUGAUCAUUGACCUUGACAUUUACUCUGAAAAGCAAUUGCAUUCAGCUGCUAUAAGCAAUGAUUUCACUUAGUACAAUUUUUUUCCUUUAAUUUCUAAAGUUGUACUUAAAAUAGACAUUUUGAACUUGGGACUACUCUAUUUAAACCUACCAUUUUAUGGACUGAACAUUAGUACUGUAUAUUCUUUUUAAAGAAUAAUGUUAUCACAACUGCUAUUUUUAUGUAUUUUCUGACUUUGUAACAAAUGCUAAUGUAAUUGGUAUCAACUUGUGGACAUUAUACAAAGACAUCAUAAAAUGAUAGUAAUAUGGUAUUUUUGUACAGAAGAUUCAGCUCACCUUGUUGAAAAAUGUUAAAAUCUGAAGAGUAAUUUAUGUUGAUGGUAAUGGUUAUAUAUAUUUGUACAGUUUUAAUGUCUCAAAGCUAAAAAAUUAUUUUGUGUUGCUGGGAAGCUUUUAUAUUUCUCAAUAGAUACUAAAAUAAAUAUGGUUAACUGA